rnacentral:rRNA from 1 species
CACGUAGGGGGCGAGCGUUGUCCGGAUUCAUUGGGCGUAAAGGGCGCGCAGGCGGCCCGGAAAGUCGGAUGUGAAAACUCGAGGCUCAACCUCGAGCGUGCACCCGAUACUGCCGGGCUUGAGGCAGGUAGGGGAGAUCGGAAUUCCUGGUGUAGCGGUGAAAUGCGCAGAUAUCAGGAGGAACACCGGUGGCGAAGGCGGAUCUCUGGGCCUGUCCUGACGCUGAGGCGCGAAAGCGUGGGAAGCAAACAGG